UACGAAGGGGGCUAGCGUUGUUCGGAAUCACUGGGCGUAAAGGGCGCGUAGGCGGCUUUAUAAGUCGGGGGUGAAAGCCUGUGGCUCAACCACAGAAUUGCCUCGAUACUGUAGAGCUUGAGACCGGAAGAGGUUAGUGGAAACUGCGAGUGUAGAGGUGAAAUUCGUAGAUAUUCGCAAGAACACCAGUGGCGAAGGCGGCUGACUG
rnacentral:rRNA from 1 species